CGUAGGUGGCAAGCGUUGUCCGGAAUUAUUGGGCGUAAAGCGCGCGCAGGCGGUCCUUUAAGUCUGAUGUGAAAGCCCACGGCUCAACCGUGGAGGGUCAUUGGAAACUGGGGGACCUGAGUACAGAAGAGAAGAGUGGAAUUCCACGUGUAGCGGUGAAAUGCGUAGAGAUGUGGAGGAACACCAGUGGCGAAGGCGACUCUUUGGUCUGUAACUGACGCUGAGGCGCGAAAGCGUGGGGAGCAAACAGGAUUAGAUACCCUGGUAGUCCACGCUGUAAACGAUGAGUGCUAAGUGUUAGAGGGUUUCCGCCCUUUAGUGCUGCAGCUAACGCAUUAAGCACUCCGCCUGGGGAGUACGGCCGCAAGGCUA
rnacentral:rRNA from 1 species